UCACAACGUCGUCAGUACGUCCUUCCAACGUGACCAGAUAACCAAGAACGUCCCAGAUAGGUCCUCUAUUGGUAAUAUAUUGGUAACUUCAUGACUUACUGGCAACGUAACUACAACGUCGUAUGCACGUAAUAUCAUUACCAUAUUUUUUUUUACGUUCUUUAUAUGCUCUCUGAGUAUAGAGCUAUUUAAAAAGUGUAAUUAAACUUCAAACACAAGAUUAAACGUUCCUUAAAGAUAAAAUAUGUUUAUUUUCACCAAGUCAGAAUAUGGACAUGCUUUCAAUAUAUAGUGACGUGACAUACAGGCGCUCGCUUCCACAACUAACGCACCACGCGCACAGUAUUGACAAGAAAAGAGUUGUGAAACUUUCUAUCUCGUAAGGAGUUAUGAACGUGAAAUAAUGACACAGACUGGCUACACCAUCUCAUCUGCCGCAGAGACUGUUGUAUCAGGAGGACAGCGCGUUUGUUUGAGGCACUUUUCACUUCAACUGUCUGACAGGAGAAUUAGCUUUCUGAGCCUUAUAGCCGUUGAGUAACCAUGGCAACCGCGUAAAGUUACACAUCAGCUGCUGGAGAGGAGAGGACUCGUUUGACAUUUUCUUCUUGUUUCUCGUCAGUUAUACCAAAGAAAAGGCCAACAACUGCGAGAGAUUUGUUAAGUAACACGUUAAUAUUAUCCACAGUCUACUUUAAGUACUUUUUGUUAAUAUUUAUACCUCUGUGAUUAUGGUAUUUUUCCUGAAAUGUCUGCUAUCAAGUAUUACGCUAGCAUAGAAACAUAAUUAACGUUAUAGCAUAUUAGAUUUGAGCUCUUAUUAAUGAAAGUUUGGGCUUUUAAUUACAUGGGUAAAGGAUCGGUUUUGAUUGCUUUGUAAAUGUUUUUGAUGGUAAUUUGUCAAUAGAUAAAUGAAGUAAAGUUAAGCUAAUUAAUUUAACCUAAAAGUCUGCACUGUAGAGUCUAUCAGUGACGUCACUCGCGGUCUAAAAUGGGCUGAAACUAUUUCAAACCACUGUUUCAAGCUCGUUCUGAUUUAUCAUUGUAAACAAAUAUUGAUAAAAAAAAAUUGUACAGUGAUUUCAGGAGUGUCUUAAAAACCCUCUAAAAAGUUCCAAGAAAAUGUCUAAAGGGAGCUGCUGACAGAGAUAAAAAACACAGGUGAUGCUACAAAGCUUAUUAAAUUACUUCAUAUUUAUUUUUUACAAUAUAUCAUCAUGCAUUUGUAAAAUCUAAACAUGUGAAUUCUGGUAUCUUAAGAUUUUUGUAUGUUUUCCAUAUUACUAUUUUUCUUUUCUGCAUUUCCCCUAUUCUCUAGUUUGUGUAUUUCUAAUAAGGAGCUGGAGGCCGUGAAGAAACAGAUCCAUGAUAUUGUGGAGAAGCAGGCCCCGCUGAGCAAGUGGAGAGCUGUGCUGGAAAUAUUAAGGGGUUGAUGCUCAUAAGUCCAGGGUAAGUAUACAGCUAACCCUACUACCACCUCUACUCUGUGUGGUUCUCUGCAAAGGCCCGGUGUACCCAGGAUGCGAUCUUCCCAGAUGUCCUUCACCCUAUUUCACAGUGUAAGACAUGAACCAGGCCCUGGGCGACGACCUCUCUCCAUCCGCCGCCUCCGGUCUUCAGGAUCUCCACCAGAACCCGAUUCGCUCCACUUCGCGAGACAGAACACAACGCUGUGAUCAUCGGAGACUCCAUCGUCCGGCACGUUCGUGCUAUGUUAGCUGAAGGUAAAGUCCACACUCACUGCUUCCCUGGUGCUCAUGUUCUUUAUAUUUCUGCACAGAUUCCCGUGAUCCUGGAGGGUGAGGGGAGCAUCGGAGCGGACGUGCUUCACGCUGGGGUUAACAACACCAUGCUACGGCAGACAUAGACACUGAAGAGAGACUUCAGGAGCCUGAUCAAGACGGUGCACAGCAUAUCGCCUGCAUGAUGAUAAUCGUGUCAGGACCACUUCCCACGUAUAGAUGAGGACAUGAAAGGUUCAGCAGACUUUUUGCUUUAAACGAAUGGUUAUAGUCAUGGUGUAAAGAACAGAAACUGCUUUUUGUUAAUAAUUGUAAUCUUUUCUGGGAGCGUCCUAGGCUUUUUAGAUCUCCUGUUGGCCAACAUCUCCAGGACACUUCGCUCCAUAUGACUAGGCAAUUUGUGAAGACAGAUAAUCAAGAGAAGUCAGUUCCAGAUCCACCCUCCACACCAGACCUCUCUCUCACGAGGAUUGCUGUCUACUAGCAUAUUGUGUUCUCUUCAGACUUCGGGGGAUGCAGAUAUUAUUCAGGCACACGAACACUUGAAUAUUGAAAGAAUGGAGAAAGUAAGAAUUACUUAAGAUUUUAGAAUUUAAUGUUAAUUGCUUAUAUAUAUAUAUAUAUAUAUAUAUAUAUAUAUAUAUAUAUAUAUAUAUAUAUUUAGAUAUAUUUUUGUGGCAGUGUGAACUGGCCAUAAUGCUGUAUGAUAGGUGUGAGAUUCAUUAAACUUGAUUUGCUAUAAUACAUCUGUUCAUAAGCUAUUGCAUAUUAUUUUCAAUGAAUUAUUUGUUAUUUAUUAGCUGAUGUAUUAUUGUGGGAGCUUGUGAUUAG